rnacentral:lncRNA from 1 species
UUUGACCCAAUGAGUUAAUAUACGUUAAUUGUUGCUUUGGUUCAGAUACCAUAUCAAUAUUGUAACUUUUUCUUUUUUGGUCAUAAUUCCAAUGUCACAUUAAGCAAGACGAAAUGCACGUCCCAAAGCUUAUAUCAAAGUAUUUGGAUUUGAACUGGUUUCCAUUUUUAAGUGUUACGUAGGUUCCAUAUUUGAAUCAUUUUUCACAAUAUCUCUCUUGUCAUUUUCAAUUUCAUCACUUUGAACAUAACCUCAAUCAUUUACAUGAUUUUUAGAAUUCCAACCAGAAAU